rnacentral:lncRNA from 1 species
UUUAUGCAAUUUACAAGUUCCGUACACUUAUUCUUUCUUCAUAUUUGAGAGUUGUUUUCUUUUCACUUCAGCAAGUUAAUAUAACAUUUCUGUUAGUGAGGCUUUUGAGUGGGUAUUAUAUUGGGCCUGAACCAACACGCCUUGUUUUGCGCAGCCGAAUUUGUUGCUUCAGGUUGAGGAACCAUGGACCUCCUUUCAGAAGCGCAGGGCGUUGAAAAUUGACACCACGACCACUACCAAGCCUAUAACCACAGUCCACAGUCCAUCCUGUGCAGAAUCUUUGAUUGAUCAAUGGACACCGUUGCAGACAGGGGCGGUUCUUAGAAGGGUUGUGGCAGGGCCACGGCCCGGGCAAGUUUUUCGGCCGUAGUGCUAAUUUUCUGCAUUUCGAUCAAAAUUUUUUAUAUAUACUAUGUUUGGCCCGGGCUUGCCCGGGUUUUUUUUAGUGCCCGUGUCUUUCGGCCCUGGCACGUUCAACGGGCAAGAUCCGCCACUGGUUGCAGAUGCUUAACCAGGUGCCCCUAUGGUGUUUUUCUAUUGAAAUGCUGGCAGUGUUUUACAGGGUGUAUACCAAAUAUUUAUAUGUAACCGGUUUAUGUGUUGAUGAUGUGUGUGAGUAGAGAAUUGCUAACUCGAAAUGUACAGUUAAGAGUUAACUGAUCAGUUGUGCUUAAUUGAUACAAAUCAUUCU